UGGGGAAUUUUGGACCAAUGGGCGAAAGCCUGAUCCAGCAAUGCCGCGUGUGUGAAGAAGGCCUUCGGGUUGUAAAGCACUUUUGUCCGGAAAGAAAUCCUUGGCUCUAAUACAGUCGGGGGAUGACGGUACCGGAAGAAUAAGCACCGGCUAACUACGCGCCAGCAGCCGCGGUAAUACGUAGGGUGCAAGCGUUAAUCGGAAUUACUGGGCGUAAAGCGUGCGCAGGCGGUUUGCUAAGACCGAUGUGAAAUCCCCGGGCUCAACCUGGGAACUGCAUUGGUGACUGGCAGGCUAGAGUAUGGCAGAGGGGGGUAGAAUUCCACGUGUAGCAGUGAAAUGCGUAGAGAUGUGGAGGAAUACCGAUGGCGAAGGCAGCCCCCUGGGCCAAUACUGACGCUCAUGCACGAAAGCGUGGGGAGCAAACAGGAUUAGAUACCCUGGUAGUCCACGCCCUAAACGAUGUCAACUAGUUGUUGGGGAUUUCAUUUCCUUAGUAACGUAGCUAACGCGUGAAGUUGACCGCCCGGGG
rnacentral:rRNA from 1 species